rnacentral:lncRNA from 1 species
AUGAGAAUGGCUGGGAUGUUUCUCUACCUAAUAUUCUCCUUUCCAUUUGCUGUCCAGAAGUACUAUAGCUUGGUGCCAGCCUGUAGGUGCAAAGAGCAUGAAAUCAAACACAUCUGCAGAUACCACAGCAGGCAAGCAAGUGAAAAAGUGUUGGAGGCUGCAGAAGAAGAGAAGAAUGCAGCCUCUGUAGUGUCCAGUCAGCCUAAAACUUGCCAACAACGGACCAGGAAGGCUUCCAAAGACAUCUACAUUGAAGUUUCUCCUGGUACCUAUUCCAUCACAGCAACAUCAGAGGACAUGGUGAAGCAAACCCACGUGGUGGAUGUCAGGGCAGGACAAAGUGUUGAUUUAACUUUUGUUCUAUGAUGUUUGUUGUUUCUUGGCAAUCACGGGAAUAAAAUACUAGGCUUUUUAAUGCA